AGAUAAUUAAGUUCACUGAGCCAUGAAUUAUUGAGCAACUUGCCAUGCUCAAUCCAUUAUAUAUAACAAUGCAAAGCAGGAAAGCGCACUUGUGUCUACCAGAACCAGAAAGAAGUGAGCAAAAGCAGCCAGCCUUUGGUAGAAACAUGGUAGGCGCAGGGCUCCCCGUGCUAGUUUCUCUGCUCCUCGCACUCGCUGCUAGCACGGGGUCAGCACACAUUCCACACGCCGGAACUGCCGCAAGUAAUUCCAGCGACCACUCUGCUCUUCUGUCCUUCAAGGCGCUCAUAAGGGACGACCCCUUGCAAGCUCUGGGGUCAUGGGGCAACCGGUCCACGCCCAUGUGCCAAUGGCACGGCGUGGCGUGCGGCAGGCGGGGACGCCGCCGUGGCCGGGUUGUGGCGCUGGACCUCGGCGACCUCAACCUUCUAGGCGCAGUCUCCGCCUCGGUGGCCAACCUUACAUUCCUGAGGAGGCUCCGCCUAGCCGGUAACCGCUUGAAUGGCGCCGUGCCAUCAGCUCUUGGCCACCUGCGGUACCUGAAGCGGCUCAACCUGUCGGACAACUCUCUGGACGGCGCUAUUCCGCCGUCGCUUUCGCGGUGCCGGCAACUCGACAGCAUCAGCCUUGGAUACAACAGGCUGAAAGGGAAGAUACCCCGGGAGCUUGCAGCCUUGCCCAACCUGGGUUUACUCGAGCUCGGCCGGAACGAGCUCCAAGGGGAGAUACCGCAUGAGCUUGGCUCCUUGCACAAUCUUGUGGUACUCGAUCUAGGCCACAACAAGCUUGGAGGAACCAUCCCUGCGGAGAUCAGCAACCUUGUGAACCUGGAGUAUGUGGACAUUUCAAACAAUAAGCUAACAGGAGAAAUACCCCCUGGCAUAGGUAACCUUGUCAAACUAGACACACUUUCUCUGAAUUCAAAUCAACUGUCUGGUUCUAUUCCAAGUUCAGUAGGAAAUCUCUCGGUGCUGGGCUUUCUUAGCCUGGCCACAAAUAACCUUACAGGAAGUAUUCCAGCAUUACAUAAUCUUUCAUAUCUCUCGGUACUCAAUUUAGGAAACAAUGGCCUGACAGGAUGCAUCCCACCUGGGUUAGAGAACCUCACAUCACUCUCUGCCAUAUCUCUUAGCCGAAACCAUCUAACUGGCCAAAUUCCAGCAUCAAUAGGGAACCUCAACUUGCUUGAACUCCUUUAUCUGUCAUUCAAUAAUCUUACAGGUCCCAUACCCCACUCCAUUGGAAACCUACACUCCCUCGCUGAAAUUGGCCUCGAAAACAAUGAAUUAGAAGGGCCAUUGCCUCCUUUGCUAUUCAAUCUUUCCUACCUCCAAGUUAUCAAUGUACAAAGCAAUUAUAACCUCAAUGGGUCUUUUCCAUUCGACAUGGGAAACAACCUUCCAGGCCUACAGGUCUUCCUUGCAGCUUAUAAUCAAUUCCACGGUUCUAUUCCUCCCUCUUUGUGCAAUGCCUCUAUGAUUCAAAUGAUCCAGCUCCUUCAUAACUCCCUAACAGGAACAAUUCCCAGUUGCCUAGGAAUUCGCUUGAGGAGCUUGUCCGUAUUAACCAUUGCCGAAAACCAUAUUCGAGCAACACAAGAUGCCGACUGGGGUUUCGUGUCCAGCCUAAGCAAUUGCAGUAAUUUGCAAGUGUUGGAUUUAGGUGGUAAUAUGCUUGAAGGUGAAAUACCAAGUUCGGUAGGCACCCUCUCCACAAAUCUAGAGUUUCUUAACAUGCAAGAUAACAGCAUAACGGGGAAGAUUCCUGAAGUAGUGGCGAACUUGAGCAAUCUGCGCGCACUUUUUCUAGAUAGUAACCAUUGAAAGGGUACUAUUCCAACCUCUCUUGGCAAGUUGAAGAGACUAAAUUUGUUAAACCUAGGAAUGAAUGACCUAUCAGGAUCGAUCCCUCCCACAUUCAACAAUCUUAUACAACUAAGCGAACUUAAACUUGGUGGCAACAUGCUUAGUGGAAGCAUACCUUCUAGUCUCAUGGCAUGUCCAUUACAAAAACUAGACCUUUCAAACAACAGCCUUGGUGGUCCAAUACCUAGGGACCUAUUCCUUAUAAACACAUUGUCCAUCUACAUGAGACUCCAAAACAAUCUAUUAACCGGGGAUUUGCCUACAGAAUUAGGUAACCUAAAGAAUAUUGGGGAACUUGAUUUCUCCGGUAAUCUGAUAUCUGGAGAGAUUCCGAUCUCGCUUGGAGGGUGCCAGACACUGCAGUUUCUGAAUGUAUCUCGGAACAACCUUCAAGGGACAAUUCCGCCAUCAAUCAUGCAGAUGAAAGCCCUAUUGAUGCUUGAUAUUUCCCAUAAUAAUCUCUCAGGGAGCAUUCCUGGGUUCCUCGGGAGCAUGGAAGGGCUCUCAUUCAAUAACUUGGACGGUGAGGUUCCAACAGAUGGGAUCUUCAGCAAGGCAGCUUCCGCCUCAGCCUCAAUUAUGGGAAAUGAUGGCCUGUGUGAUGGAAUCCCUCAACUGAAGUUGCCACAUUGCUCCAACCUCACCACCACGAAACCAACUCAGAAACUGGUCAUAAUAUUCUCCAUAUGUGGAGCAGUCAUACUUAUCGCAUUAGUAUUUGCACUGUCGACAUUCUACAGUAAGAGCAGGAAGAUGAAAGCAAACAAGCAGACAUCAUCCAUCGGCGAGCAAUAUUUAAGGGUUUCUUAUGCUGAACUGGUCAGUGCAACUAAUGGUUUUGCUUCAGAGAACCUCCUUGGAGCAGGAAGCUUCGGCUCGGUGUACAAGGGAACAAUGAGGAUAGAUGACCAGCAAGUAGUGAUUGCUGUGAAGGUGCUCAACCUCACACAGCGAGGUGCAUCCCGAAGUUUUGUUGCAGAAUGUGAGACCCUGAAAUGUGUUCGACAUAGGAAUCUUAUGAAGAUAUUGACAGUGUGCUCAAGUAUUGAUUCUCAAAGCCGUGACUUCAAGGCCCUCGUGUAUGAAUACCUACCAAAUGGAAAUUUGGACAAAUGGAUACACCACCAUCCCAUAGAAGAUGGUGAAAAUAGGUCACUGCAUCUCCGUGUGAGACUGCAGAUUGCAAUUGAUGUAGCAUCAUCACUCGAAUACCUUCACCAACAUAAGCCAAUGCCAAUUAUUCACUGUGAUCUUAAGCCCAGCAAUGUUCUCCUCGAUGGUGAAAUGAUUGCUCAUGUUGGUGAUUUUGGGCUUGCAAGGUUUCUACAUCAAGACUCAGAGAAAUCAACUAGUUGGGGAUCGAUGAGAGGCACAAUCGGCUAUGCCGCUCCAGAGUAUGGACUGGGCAACCAAGUUUCAAUCCAUGGUGAUGUCUACAGCUACGGCAUACUGUUGCUGGAGAUGUUCAGUGGAAAAAGGCCAACAGAGAGCAGAUUCGGAGAAUCCUUUGGCCUUCACAAGUAUGUGCAAAUGGCAUUGCCAGAAAGGGCAGCAGAGGUCAUAGACCGAGACUUACUAGCAGAGACAGAAGAUGGCAAAGAAAGCAGCUCAAAUUCUAACAGCAAUAUGGAUCUGAGAAUUGCUUGCAUCACUUCAGUUCUGCGCACUGGGAUUUCAUGCUCACAAGAGACCCCAACGGAUCGCAUCCAAAUCGGGGGUGCUCUGAAAGAGUUGCUGGCAAUAAGAGACAGAUUUGACAAGGAGAUGUGUGCGGAAGGCGAGCCAGCAAACUAAAGCAUACGAAGCCAUUCAAGCAACCAGGACUGGUCAAUAUGGACGGCAAGCUGCCAUUUCAAUGAGGCUCCAGCUAGUUCCAAAUAAAUAAAUAAAAGUAGUUGUGUUUUGUGGAAUAUUUGCUGUAUUACCGUAAUGGUAUAUCUGUAUUGUUGAAUUGUACGUGUAUAUGGUGUUGUAUAAACCAUAUGUUCUAGAAUAAGUCCAUGGUGUAGCGCAUGCGUCUGCUUGUUGUAAUAAUCAGCCGGUUAUUGAGAUUAGCGUGGGGAUCAUACCGGCUGAUCUCUCUGUAAUCUGUCAAUCACCAUGGACCUAUAUAACACGUAUGCGUCCCUGCCUAACAGCACACGCUUCCAGCCCCA